ACCUGGGUGGCUCAGUCGGUUGAGCGUCCGACUUCGGCUCAGGUCAUGUUCUCACGGUCCGUGAGUUCGAGCCCCGCUCCGGGCU
rnacentral:tRNA from 1 species